GGGUAAGUUCCGACCUGCACGAAUGGCGUAACGACUUCCCCACUGUCUCCAGGACAUGCUCAGCGAAAUUGAAUUCUCCGUGAAGAUGCGGAGUACCCGCGGUUAGACGGAAAGACCCCGUGCACCUUUACUGCAGCUUCAGAGUGGCAUUAGGAAAGAACUGUGUAGCAUAGGUGGGAGGCUUUGAAGCAUCGGCGCCAGCUGAUGUGGAGCCAUAGGUGAAAUACCACCCUGUUGUUUUCUGAUGUCUAACCUCGAACCAUGAAACUGGUUCAGGGACCCUCUGUGGCGGGUAGUUUGACUGGGGCGGUCGC
rnacentral:rRNA from 1 species